rnacentral:misc_RNA from 1 species
GCAAACUUGGUCAUUUAGAGGAAGUAAAAGUCGUAACAAGGUCUCCGUUGGUGAACCAGCGGAGGGAUCAUUAAAGAGUUGCAAAACUCCCUAAACCCUUGCGAAUUUACCUGUUUGUUGCUUCGGCAGGCAGCCCCAGGGCGGGGUUAUGGCCUGUUUUCAGGUGCCUGCCGAAGGUUUUUAAAAACUCUUUUUUACUGGUUUUCUGAGUAUCAAGAAAAUAAAUCAAAACUUUCAACAACGGAUCUCUUGGUUCUGGCAUCGAUGAAGAACGCAGC